rnacentral:lncRNA from 1 species
CGGGCAGCCUGCAGGCUCUGCCCACCCACGCUCGGACGCCGCGGCCCUCGCCGGCCCGCCGUGGAUCUUGGUCCUCCCCGAGCUGGGCCAAGUUCCCACGGUCGCAUCCAGCUUCGGCAGAGACCUCCCCGGGCCUGAGGGGACGAGGAGCAAAGGGACGGCUCGGGCUGGGGACCCGGAGCCCAACCACGGGGCACAGAGCGCUCCCACGGCCUGAAUCGGCCAGGAAUUUGGAGCUGAAACCCUUCACGGGAAAGGGGCUGGCGGGAGGGGUUUUGACUGCUCGGAAAAAAUGCGGAUGGGAGCACAUCCAAAUUGUCCCCAAAUGCCAUUGCGACUGGACUUGGGUCACGGGCCAGGGGGGAGCCCUGGAGCACCCGUUUGGAGAUGCCUUUCCGUGUUGCCGGUUCGGAGGAGAAACCGGCUGUGUUUUGAGCCUUGCCGGGGGGAGUCCGCACACGAUGCUCGCUUGCGAUGCGGGGUCGCUGGCCGCUCGGCCGGGUGUCCCUCGCGGGAGCUGGCUGUUUUCCAGGAGGACAUCUGCCAGAAGAACUCGGACCUCUGUGGCAGCUACACCUUCAUCCCCUACGUGGUGACGCCCCAGAACAAGGUUGUCUGCUGCGACGCCAGUGCCCUGAAGUGCCUGACGGAGCUUUUCCAGCCCAGCUUCAACACGGAGGGCUUCUUCACCCCGCUGGUGGGCCGCCUCGUCAAGCUACUGGAGG